rnacentral:rRNA from 1 species
UACGUAGGGGGCUAGCGUUGUCCGGAAUCAUUGGGCGUAAAGCGCGCGUAGGCGGCCAGAUAAGUCCGGUGUGAAAGUCACAGGCUCAACCUGUGAAUGCCGCUGGAAACUGUCUGGCUAGAGUCCGGGAGGGGCGAGUGGAAUUCCUGGUGUAGCGGUGAAAUGCGCAGAUAUCAGGAGGAACACCGGUGGCGAAGGCGGCAUCCUGGACCGGCAUUGACGCUGAGGCGCGAAAGCCAGGGGAGCAAACGGG